CUUUCGUCAUCUUCGAUAACAACACAUAGUUUAGGAUCAGCGGAUACAUUGCCUGAUAUUCCCUGCAGUACACCCGUUGACAAUGCCAGAAAUUCGAGAGAAGUCAUGAAUAUCUUCAAUCAAAUUAUAUCCGGAGGUAUAGAAGAAGGUAACGAAGAAGAAAACACACAAGAUGAUAUUAGUAGUGGGGAAA